UGGGGAAUAUUGCACAAUGGGCGCAAGCCUGAUGCAGCCAUGCCGCGUGUAUGAAGAAGGCCUUCGGGUUGUAAAGUACUUUCAGCGGGGAGGAAGGGAGUAAAGUUAAUACCUUUGCUCAUUGACGUUACCCGCAGAAGAAGCACCGGCUAACUCCGUGCCAGCAGCCGCGGUAAUACGGAGGGUGCAAGCGUUAAUCGGAAUUACUGGGCGUAAAGCGCACGCAGGCGGUUUGUUAAGUCGGAUGUGAAAUCCCCGGGCUUAACCCGGGAAUUGCAUCUGAUACUGGUCAGCUAGAGUCUUGUAGAGGGGGGUAGAAUUCCAUGUGUAGCGGUGAAAUGCGUAGAGAUGUGGAGGAAUACCGGUGGCGAAGGCGGCCCCCUGGACAAAGACUGACGCUCAGGUGCGAAAGCGUGGGGAGCAAACAGG
rnacentral:rRNA from 1 species